UCUAAUAUGGCAGAUUAGUGCAGUGGAUUUAAGCUCCUCAUAUAAAGUUUAAACUUUUUUUUAGAA
rnacentral:tRNA from 1 species